UUUCCUCUCUUUAUAUGUUCCCUAGCAUUAGUGACAAAGUGGUUCCACUUGGACCACACCUUUUUCUAGUUCUCAACGUGACUUGGCCACCUAUGACCACUAUCUUUUAAAUUCAAUGGUGCCCCAGGCACAGCUCCCAACUAUAGCUACAAAACUGAAACAUGUGCACUGAUCCAAAGUUGGAAUCAAAUCCGCCCCCAGAGCAAAUCAUGCCAAGGUUGAAUGCCUCUUUUUUAAUGCUU
rnacentral:lncRNA from 1 species